rnacentral:tRNA from 2 species
GGGGCUGUAGCUCAGUUGGUAGAGCGCCUGCUUUGCAAGCAGGAUGUCAGGAGUUCGAAUCUCCUCAGCUCCACCA